rnacentral:rRNA from 1 species
AUGGCCUCGGGUGCGAGGCGCGUGUGCAGGGGAGGCGAGGCAUGGGAGCAGGUGGCGAGACAGCGCAAGCCGCGGCCAACCGACGGGCGGGCGCGGGUAGUGCGGGGCCGUCCUGCGGGCGCGCGGGGAGGGGAGCGGCGGAGCUGCAGGGGGCCCGAGCGGGGUUGGAGCAGCGGGGCAGGAGGCGAUCGGGCGCGAUGCACGCGCGCCCGGACGGCGGCGGAGCUCUUCCCGCCGGAGACCCGCUUGGAGACGCUCGCGCAGUGGGUGUGCGUCGGCGUCACUGUGGUGCUCCCGGCCGCGCUCGGCGCGCUUGUGCGUCUCUGGCUCGCCCGGUGCUGCUGUUGCGGCCGCGGCGGCGGCAGGCGAACGAUGGUGGCCCCCGGCCGCAGCGGCGCGUGCAUGCCGCGCGGCGCAUUCGAGGGUGAUCCCCGGACAUACUUCCGCGACCUCCGUGCAAAGAAGCCCCUGCUCCCAUGGCGGAUGGGAUCGCACUGGAGUAGAGGGAGAGAGAGGGGAUUGAGAAUUAGGGAGAGAGAGGGAUUAACUCGAGACACACGUCUUCACAGAGCCACCCACGUGCGUCUGGAAGCAUCGCUCGGGCCUGGAUCUCUGAAAACUGAUGAUUCGGCCGUUCCCAACGGGCCAGGGCCAAGGAUGCUUUAA